GCGGCGGACGGGUGAGUAACACGUGGGCAACCUGCCCUGUAGACGGGGAUAACACCGAGAAAUCGGUGCUAAUACCGGAUAACACGAAAUGUCGCAUGACGUUUCGUUGAAAGACGGCGCAAGCUGUCGCUACAGGAUGGGCCCGCGGCGCAUUAGCUAGUUGGUGAGGUAACGGCUCACCAAGGCGACGAUGCGUAGCCGACCUGAGAGGGUGAUCGGCCACACUGGGACUGAGACACGGCCCACACUCCUACGGGAGGCAGCAGUAGGGAAUCUUCCGCAAUGGACGAAAGUCUGACGGAGCAACGCCGCGUGAGCGAAGAAGGCCUUCGGGUCGUAAAGCUCUGUUGUUAGGGAAGAACAAGUAACGUAGUAACUGGCGUUACUGUGACGGUACCUAACGAGAAAGCCACGGCUAACUACGUGCCAGCAGCCGCGGUAAUACGUAGGUGGCAAGCGUUGUCCGGAAUUAUUGGGCGUAGAGCGCGCGCAGGCGGUUCCUUAAGUCUGAUGUGAAAGCCCACGGCUCAACCGUGGAGGGUCAUUGGAAACUGGGGGACUUGAGUGCAGAAGAGGAGAGCGGAAUUCCACGUGUAGCGGUGAAAUGCGUAGAGAUGUGGAGGAACACCAGUGGCGAAGGCGGCUCUCUGGUCUGUAACUGACGCUGAGGCGCGAAAGCGUGGGGAGCACACAGGAUUAGAUACCCUGGUAGUCCACGCCGUAAACGAUGAGUGCUAAGUGUUAGAGGGUAUCCACCCUUUAGUGCUGUAGCUAACGCAUUAAGCACUCCGCCUGGGGAGUACGCUCGCAAGAGUGAGACUCAUAGGAAUUGAC
rnacentral:rRNA from 1 species